rnacentral:rRNA from 1 species
AACGAACGCUGGCGGCAUGCCUAACACAUGCAAGUCGAACGAGAUCUUCGGGUCUAGUGGCGCACGGGUGCGUAACGCGUGGGAAUCUGCCCUUUGGUUCGGAAUAACAGUUGGAAACGACUGCUAAUACCGGAUGAUGACGAAAGUCCAAAGAUUUAUCGCCAGAGGAUGAGCCCGCGUAGGAUUAGCUAGUUGGUGUGGUAAAGGCGCACCAAGGCGACGAUCCUUAGCUGGUCUGAGAGGAUGAUCAGCCACACUGGGACUGAGACACGGCCCAGACUCCUACGGGAGGCAGCAGUGGGGAACAUUGGACAAUGGGCGAAAGCCUGAUCCAGCAAUGCCGCGUGAGUGAUGAAGGCCUUAGGGUUGUAAAGCUCUUUUACCCGGGAUGAUAAUGACAGUACCGGGAGAAUAAGCUCCGGCUAACUCCGUGCCAGCCGCCGCGAUAA